GGCUGCUGUUCCAAAAAUUAUAAUUUUUUGCUUGAUUCUUUAUUUCAGCGUUCUUUUAAUUUAAAAGCAAGACUUGCAGUCCAGCGCAUGCGCACCUGACGGCAUUUCCCCUCCCACACACAGCGCAGAAGCACAUGGACUGAGGAUUCGACGUUCUUCUUCGGUAAAUGCAAGAGUACCAGAUGAUGACCUGCUAUGCAGUGGAAAUUUUGCCAUGUCGAUGACUCCUCACGUUACUGUGCAUGACCGUGACAUGUCUGUGAAAUCUUGGAGAAGUGGCCAGCACUUUUCACAGAAAGCCAGGUCUUUGCAGAAUUCAAUCGCAUAUCUGGGGAAAAUCUGAGAUCUGAGUUCUAUGCAGCGUUGGACACGCAUUCUGUAUGUUUGACUGAAAAUUUCGGAGAAAAGGAGGAAAUCAGGGAAGAACAAGUGAUGAAAUUCUGCAUCAUGUUGACUAAAGUCAUCUGAUGUAACACAUGUUUGCACUGCAGUGCUUCAGGGUCUUCCAAUCCUCUUGGGAUGACCCAGAGUAAUUUUUCAGGAUGAGUUUCGAUUCAGAUGUAGAUGCAGGCUUCUGUGAAUUAGAUGUUGGACUGCUCACAGUUUUACCUGAAAGCAAGCCUGCCAAACGUCCACAUGCCCUCAACGUGGAUGCAAUGGAGGGAAGAAUUGUCAUGGAUAAUGUCCCAAAUUUGCCACAUUCUGUAUGUCUCCACUUUGCUUUGAUCUAUGCUCUAAAUUUAGACCAUCCAAAGACAAUGAGGAACACAUUUGAUUUUAUUCAGCAGGUAUUUCUGUCUUUGGGACAAAAAAGACAUUUCUGUCUUUUAAGGGUCUCCAAACCCUUAAAAAUUGUCUUUUAAGCUGAACUUAUUUCUGGCAUAUCUUGCUGUAAUUGCAGUUCAGUUUAAGAAUCUUUCCAAAGACACAUGCAGGUUUUUCCAAUUGUAAAGGCUCUUUUUCUUUUUUUUUUGGAGUUUGCACAGUGCCUGUUCUGCAAGUGCUCUAUACCUUGUUUAUGGCCCAGAUAUUAUGUUGUUAAGCAGCCGAGUGCGUGCUGCAACAGGUUGAAGUCUUGCGAACAGGUUGUUUUUUUUAUUGUGUUGUUCUUAGUUUCAGCUGUUUAUUACGCAAAUAAACAGUUGAGAAUUUCAAACUUGUUAAGUGUGUUAUUUGAACAAGAAAAAUUAUUUUCAGUUUACUUAAAGAGAAUGUGGAAACCGAUUGCACGUAGUAUUUUAAGUGUACACCACUUAAAAGUGAUACAGUAAACUCAUGUUGAGAUUAGUGGUAUUUCAGAUGUAAAGUGAACAAAUUGUAUUAAAUUUAAGUUAAUUGACUUAAUAGAGAAAUCUACUAAAAUAAUUUGUAAGGUUACUAAUUAAUUUAUAGAAAAUUAACCAAAGAAAUUAAGUUAACUACAAAUUUACUAUUAAGUUUAAUAACAAGUUGACAUUACUUGCAUAGGAACAUUAAUAUAACUUAAUUUUAGUAAGCAAGUUUUCUUUGCAGAAAUAAGGCAUUAGGUUUCCUUAAUUUUUAAGUAAACUGAACAUGUAAAAUUUUACAGUGUAUUAAGGUAACACAUUUAAAAUACUGUCUUGUGUAAGACAAUGUAAUGUUUAAACUGUAUUGUACAAAGUAUGGCUAAGUAAUAACAGUUUGAUAUUGAAGACAAAGUGUGCAAUUUGUAGUAUUUUGACUAAGCCAAAGGUGUUACGGAGCAUAUACUUUUUACUCAAAUAUAAUACACUUAUGGUAUAUUGUUUGUAUGUUUUGAAUACACUUGCAAUUAAUUUGUAAUGUACUUGUAACACAAAUAAAGUAUACU